UACGGAGGAUGCAAGCGUUAUCCGGAUUUAUUGGGUUUAAAGGGUGCGCAGGUUGUUUGAUAAGUCAGUGGUGAAAGUCUGUCGCUUAACGGUAGGAUUGCCAUUGAUACUGUUAGACUUGAAUAUGGAUGAGGUAGGCGGAAUGUGUAAUGUAGCGGUGAAAUGCUUAGAUAUUACACAGAACACCAAUUGCGUAGGCAGCUUACUGAGCCGACACUGACGCUGAGGCACGAAAGCGUGGGGAUCGAACAGGA
rnacentral:rRNA from 1 species